UGCCAAUAUUCCUGAGUCAGUGGCAUU
rnacentral:piRNA from 1 species